UAAACCAUGCAUUUAGAAAACCUGUCUGGGA
rnacentral:piRNA from 1 species